UGCACUACACAGUCAUUUUGUUAUUCAAUAAACGGCCUAUUUCUUUCGAUUACUAUCGCAAUUUAUCAAAACUGAUAGCAUGCCUUUGAUUAAAUAUAUAUAAACCAAUGCAUGGCCGCACGAAAUAUGGCAGGCCCAAAAUAGCAUCUUUUCAGUAAACAUUCAUUUAAACUCACUUUUCAAAUAUGAUGACAUUCCAGAUUUUCGUUGAAUCCAGUUCAUGAUCAUCAAACUAUCGCUAUCAAAAGAAGAAAAGAACCAUUUCAGCUGCAUGUAUUUAAUCAAGUUACGGUCAUUUGUCAAUCUUGAAGUCAUUGGGAUCAUCAGAAUGAGUAUCGCUGACUUCUUCUGGUAUUUGAGCCAAUGGAGUUUCUUGAGAAAAAAAAUCAAAAAUCAUUGGUGUAAGAAAUUUGUAGUCUAGAUUUUUCAAACAAUUAAUUGAUUAUAACUAAGGUAUGACGUACUUAUUAAACAUCAAAUUUGAAAAUCAUAAUUUAAAACUAGGGAUCCAAAAAUAGUGCAAAGUUUAAUAAACACAGUGUAGAUGUCUGUUG